rnacentral:snRNA from 1 species
AAAAAAAAGAAGAAGAAGGACCCAAGGGCAAGGCUUAUCCAUUUUACUCCAGAUAUGCUGACUGCUGUGAUUUUCCCAAAUAUGGGAAAUUCAACUGCAUAAUUUGUGGUAGUGUAGACUUCAUUCACAAUCUCCC